UACGUAGGGGGCAAGCGUUGUCCGGAUUUAUUGGGCGUAAAGAGCGUGUAGGCGGCCAUUCAGGUCAGCUGUGAAAACUCGAGGCUCAACCUCGAGACGUCGGCUGAAACCGUUUGGCUAGAGUCCGGAGGAGGAGAGUGGAAUUCCCGGUGUAGCGGUGAAAUGCGCAGAUAUCGGGAAGAACACCCGUGGCGAAGGCGGCUCUCUGGGACGGUACUGACGCUGAGACGCGAAAGCGUGGGGAGCGAACAGG
rnacentral:rRNA from 1 species